AAUUAAAAAUUUAAUAAAAGAAGUCAGUUAAAAUUAAAAUUUUUUAAGUUAAUAAAAAUAUUUUUUUUUGUUUUAGUAAUAAAAAUAAAAAUAAUAAUAUAAAUUUUUAUAAUAAAUAGUAAUGAAAAUGAAAAUUGAAAUAAUAUUGAAAAAUUUUUUUAAAGUAAAGAAUAAUUAAUUUUUUGUUCCUUGUGUAUCAGGAUUAAUUUAAUUUUAAAUUUAAGAUUUUAAUUAAUUUAUAAUUUAAAACAUUAAAAAAUUUUUUUGUUUUACUGUUUCAAAAGUAUUAUUUAAAAAUUUUUAAAAAUGAAAUGUUAAAUGUUUUUAAAGUUAUAUAAUUUUUAAAGAAAUAAAUUUAAUUUAAUUAUAAAUUUUUAUUAUUAAAAUAUAAUUUGUUUUAUUUUAAUAAAUUUAGUUUAUAUUAAUAUUUUAAGGGUUGAGCUUUAAAAUAAAAGUUUAUAAGAAAAAAAAAUUUUUAAAAAAAAAAUAAUCUUAAAAAUAGAUAAUUUUAAUUAAAAUGUUUUAAUUAAUUUUUUUUUAAAAAAAAUUUAGUAUAUAUUUUUUUUUAACUUUUUAUUUAAAAAAUUAUUUUAAUUAUAUAAAAUAAUGAUAUGAUUAUUAAAUUAGUAGUUUAAAUUAAUUUUUAAUAAUUAAAAUAAUUUUAAUUUUUAAUAUUAUAAAUUCGGCAAUAUUAUUUUUAUUUGUUUAACAAAAACAUUGUUUUUUUAAAUAUUUUUAAAAAAUAAAGCCUGCACACUGAAUAUAUUUAAAGAGCCGCGGUAAUUUGACCGUGCAAAGGUAGCAUAAUCAUUAGUUUUUUAAUUGAAGACUGGAAUGAAAGGUUUGAUAAAAAAUAAGCUUUAUUAUAUUAAUAAUAAAUGAAUUUAUUAUUUUAGUAAAAAAACUAAAAUAUUUAUAAAAGACGAUAAGACCCUAUAAAGCUUUAUAAAGUUAUUAUUUAUAAUUUUUUUUAGAAUAUUUUAAAUUUUAAUGUAUAUUUUAUUUAAUUGGGGUGAUUUAAAGAUUUAGUUAACUCUUUUUAAAAAAAGUCAUUUUUUUAUGUUUUAUUAAUGAUCCUAAUUUUUUGGAUUAAUAAAUUAAGUUACUUUAGGGAUAACAGCGUAAUUUUUUUGGAGAGUUCAAAUCGAUAAAAAAGUUUGCGACCUCGAUGUUGGAUUAAGAUAUGAUUUAGGUGUAGAAGUUUAAAUUUUUAGUCUGUUCGACUAUUUAAUUUUACAUGAUCUGAGUUCAAACCGGUUUAAGCCAGGUUGGUUUCUAUCUUUAUGUUAUUGUUAUAUUUUAGUACGAAAGGACCAAAUAUAAAAUUAUUAAAAUUAAAAAGUAUGAAAUAAAUUAAUUUUUUAAAAAAGUUUAGGUAUUUAGAAUUUAUUCAAUAUAA
rnacentral:rRNA from 1 species